rnacentral:lncRNA from 10 species
CUUGGAGAACCUUUAUGUCUAUACUCUGUAUCUAACUAAUCUGAUGGGGACGUGGAGAACCUUUGUAUCUAGCUCAGGGAUUGUAAAGGCACCAAUCAGCGCCCUGUCAAAACAGACCACUGGGCUCUACCAAUCAGCAGGAUAUGGGUGGGGCCAGAUAAGAGACUAAACGCAGGCUACGGGAGCCAGCAGUGGCAACACGCUCGGGUCCCCUUCCACACUGUGGAAGCUUUGUUAUUUCACUCUUUGGGUCCACACUGCUUUUAUGAGCUGUAACACUCACCGCAAAAGUCUGCAGCUUCACUCCUGAAGCCAGGGAGACCACGAGCCCACCGGGAGGAACGAACAACUCCAGACGCGCCACCUUAAGAGCUGCAACACUCGCCGCGAGGGUCCGCGGCUUCAUUCUUGAAGUCAGUGAGACCAAGAACCCACCAAUUCCGGACACAGCACCAGUGAUGGAGGCUGACAUGAUGUAACAGUCAGAAAAGAAGACUUGACAAUCAAAUGAAACAUAUGAAGAUGCUAGGUUGCUGGCUUUGAAGAUGGAAGAAAGGACCGCAAGGCAAGGCUGCAGGCAACCCCUAGAAACUGAAAAAUGAAAGGCAGCUGUUUGUCGACUUUCACCUCCAGAAGGAACGCAGCCCUCCCUGACACAGAGUAGAGGAUUUCUGACCUCUAGAACUGUAAAAUAAUAAAUUUGUUGGUUUAGACCACUAAAUUUGUACUAUUUUUCUAAGCAGUAAUUAGAGACUGGUAAAAAUUGUAGUACUUGAAAAUGUGAUGCUGCUAUAACAAAUAAAAAUUUGAAAUUGGCUUUAGGAUUGGGUAAAGGGUAGAAGCACAGGAUAUUUCAAGGAGCAUGAUAGAAAGAGCCUUGAACAAAUUGCUUGUAAAAAUACGGAUAUUGGGCGCAGUAGUUCACACCUGUAAUCCCAGCACUUUGGGAGGCCAAGGCAUGUGAUUGCCUGAAGUAAGGAGUUUGAGAUCAGCGUGGCCAACAUGGCAAAACCCCGUCUCUACUACAAAUACAAAAAUUAGCUGGGCAUGGUGGCGCAUGCCUCUAGUCCCAGCUACUCGGGAAGCUGAAGCAGGAGAAUCGCUUGAACCCGCUUGAGGCAGAGGUUGCAGUGAGCCAAGAUCUGCUGUCACACACACAGACACACACACACACUAUAUAUAUGUAAAUAUAUAAAUAUAUGUAUGUGUAAAUAACUAUGCUAGUGAGAACUCAGAAGGAAGUGGAAAGCCUGGUAGAAAAAAACCUGCAAUGUCUUAGAGAAUACUUACAUCAUCAUACACAGUCUAUUGGUAGAAAUAUGGACAAUUAAGUAAUUGCUGGUGUGAGUUUAGAAAGAAAUUAAGAACAUAUUAUUGUAAACUGUAUAAAAGGCGGUCCUUAUUGUAUAGUGGAAGAUAUCUUACCUGUCUGGGUAUAUCAAACAGCUAUGUAAUAGGGAGAAAUUGCAAGUGAUGAUUUAGCUGAGCAGGCUUCCAAGCAAAACCAGUGUGGCCUGGUUUCUUUUUGCUGCUUGUAGUAAAAUAUUGUUUAUGGAGAAAAUGGAUAAAUUGAGGGAAGAACUGUGAAGCAAAACGUAGCCAUUACUUUUGAUUUGAGAAAUUCUCAGUCUAUCUAAAUUGUAAAAGAUGCUAAUGUUAGGCAUAUCAAUAUUCACCGUCAGGAAAGUGUGCUCUGCAAAGAAAGUCAAGAAUGUGGCUGGACAAUCUUUGGAUAUUGCCUUGGAAGAAGCAAAAGUUUAGAGUAUCCAGUCACAAAAAGUCUCUUUGAACAGAUGAUACAAGUGAUUCAUGGAUCUUCUUAGACAUCUCAACACAGAAGGCAAGAACAGACAUGAUAUUAUCCAGGAAAGAUGAGUGGAGAAGUCACAUUGUGAAAUGAUGUGAAUUCAUCUGCCAUAUACAGAAAACCUAGAAGGUUCUUGUGAAUGUUACACCAGCAGAAAUGCUACCAGCUUGGACUAAAAGAAACAGAAACAAAAAAAUAAGAGAAAGCUUUAAGAUUAGCCAAAUUCCACAUGAAAAUAAAAUUACUCAGAUAAAAACAUAAAAUACUCUUCAUGAAAAUGAAAGACUAAGUCCAAGGGUAGAACCGUAAGCCAGGGGAUAGAACUAAUAACCCCAUAAAAGUAUUAUUAAAUCUUAAAACUUAAAUUUUGGCCUAGCUUGAUUUCCAAAUUGUUUGACAAGUAACCAUUUUCCCCUCUUAUUGUGUUUCUUUUGAAAGAAGAUUGUCUAUAAUUAGUAUGCUAUGUGUGUUCCACCAUUGUAUUUUGGGAGCAGUUAACUUAUUUUCUAGUUUCACAGGGUAAAGAUGGAGCAGAAUUUUUCUCCAGUAUCAAUUACACCAUAUUCUUACGCUUACCUGAUUCAAAUAUAAGAUUUCACAGAGGCUUUUGAGUUGAUAAAAAUUAAAAGAAAUAUUGGACUUUGAGUUGAUGUUGUAAUGGGCUCAGACAUUUGGAGAUGUUAAGAUGGAAUUAUUAUUAUUAUUAUUUUUUACAUUCCGAUGGACGUUGAUCUUGAAUAUCUAGAAUUCAGUAUCUCAAAUAUCUGGACAUCUGUGAAUAUCUUGCCAUAUAGAGCAAAAUGGAAUUUGCAGAUAUGAUUAAAUUAAGGAUAUUGAAAUGGGGAGAUCAUCCUGGAUUAACCAGUGUGUCCGACGUAAUCAUAAGUGACCUUAUAAGAAGAAGUAAAAAGACAAAAAGAGAGAUUUAAAUACUCUCUUCUGUUGGCUUUGAAGAUGGAAGAAGUAGAAGGAAUGCAAAUGCUGUCUAAAAAUUGGAAAAUGCAAGGAAGCAGAUUCUUUCCUAAAGCAUCCAAAAAAAUAUGCAACCCUGCUCACAUAUUGAUUUUAGAACAUUUUACCUCCAGAAUUGUGGGAUUAUAAAUCUGGAUUAUUUUAUGCCUUUACAUGUAUGAAAAUUUUUAAUAAUAUCAAUAGAAAACAAAUGCAAUAAGACUUGAAAAAUUAUUUAAUUCCAAUUCAUAAAUAUAUUUUCCUCUCAUUUUGUCUAAAAGGUUUAUUAUUUUAUCUUUAAAAUUUAGGUAUGUAUUCUAUCGCAAAAUACAUAGAUCACCAAAUAACCCAGAACUGUUUAUUGAAAAGACCUUCUUUUCUCUCACUAAAUUGGAAUGGUGCCUGUGUUAGAAACAGGUUACUAUUGUUGUGGAUCUGUUGCCUGGCUCUCCAUUAGUUGUAUUGAUCUAUUUUUCUUUUCUUGCACCAUAUUAAUUAUUAUCUUGUCUCUAAUAGGAAUUGUUUUCUAGUGUUUGCUUUAUUAUUUAUAUGUGCCUUAGUUCUCCUAAGUCCUUUGGAUUUCCGCAUAAAUUCUAUGUACAUGCAAUGAAAACAUAGACAAAUUUUUCCAAAAAAAUAGAACUUAAAGACAUUUUAAGUGUUUUUUUUUCAGGGUAUAAAAUUCUGAGAUACAGAACUAAUAAUGGGCAAAUAAGAUAGUAAAUACAUGGUAAAUUCUAAACAAACAUUGCAUUACACAACAACAUAUAAAAGCAAAAUAAAAAUAAAAUGCAUAACAAAAAUCAAAUAUAUAUUAAGACAAAAUUUAAUUUUAAGUAUUCUAAGUUGGGUGAUAUGUUCCAUGUGUAAUAGGGAUAAUGAUCCCUAUUCAUUUGGAAUGUUAAGUAUGUCUAUUAAAAUCCAUAGGCUAAAUCAAGUACUUGUAAGAAAAUGUAUAAUUUUUUUUUUUACCAGAUGGAGGCAAAAACUUAAUAACGCAAAUAUAGGGAAUGAAAGAAGAUAAAUAGAAAGCCAAAAGGAUACAACUAGAAAGCCAAUAACAUAAGAUAUUAAAAAUAAACAAAGAUGAAUGACCCAGAUCCAUGGGUGACUAGCUGACACCUAAUGGGUACUGAUCUUGGCUCCACUAGGUGACUUAUUCUUUAGUCCUAACAUAUAACUCUAAUGAUGUGGUUCUCACUACCAUGCUGUUUAUUCUCUAAAGCCCAAUGUUCAUUACUUAGGCUUCUGAAGCGAGAAAUACAUUUCCAACACACAUUCAAUAUUUGGAUUAGUAGUUUGGGCAACACAUUUUUUGGCUUCAUAGUUUAAUAUUUAAAUUUUACUGCUCCAUAUUUGAUGACUCAUAUUCAUCUAUAUAUACUAAGAAGGAAAAGCAAUUUUACCAAUAGAAAAUGAUUUUGUUUGUAUAAAACAUCAGAAAAACCCAGAUUAAUACAUCAAAUAGCAUCUUCUCUGAAGAAAAGCACUAAAACUAAAAUCAAAUUGGAAUUGUCUGUAUUAUAUAAUAGAGA